AUUGAACGCUGGCGGCAUGCCUUACACAUGCAAGUCGAACGGUAACAGGGAGCUUGCUCCGCUGACGAGUGGCGAACGGGUGAGUAAAGUAUCGGAACGUACCUUUCAGUGGGGGAUAACGUAGCGAAAGUUACGCCUAAUACCGCAUAUUCUGUGAGCAGGAAAGCAGGGGAUCGCAAGACCUUGCGCUGAUUGAGCGGCCGAUAUCAGAUUAGCUAGUUGGUGAGGUAAAGGCUCACCAAGGCGACGAUCUGUAGCGGGUCUGAGAGGAUGAUCCGCCACACUGGAACUGAGACACGGUCCAGACUCCUACGGGAGGCAGCAGUGGGGAAUUUUGGACAAUGGGGGCAACCCUGAUCCAGCCAUGCCGCGUGAGUGAAGAAGG
rnacentral:rRNA from 1 species